UGUACCUCUCAUAGUAUUAAUGGUGUGUAUUUUUGUGAUUUCCAUUAAUUUUUAGAACAGUAUAAAAUGUAUACUAUAAAUGAUUUAAUCUUCAACUUUGAACUUCAUCUCUGCUAGUGGAUCUGAUUGGAAUUUAAAUUGGAUCCAACACCCUUCAAAAUAAUCUGAAUUUCUCAACCCCUGUGUGGCACAUGAAGGAAUUGAGUAAUCAUGAACAAAUUUAACAGUAAUUACUGCCUUAUAGAAAUGAAUAAAAUGUAAGAUGAGAAUACAAAAAUCAACGUGCAUGUAAAUAUGGCUUUUCCGGACGUUUUGGAAUCGUUAUAUAGACUUUAUGACGUUAUGGAAUAAUGAGCUUUGACAACAGAUAAACGCAGCUUUUCGUCAUUAAGAAGGAUCAAGAUAUACUUAAAAAAAAAUAACUUCUGAGUCAAGAUUGGUAGGUUUUGCAAUAGUCCCGUCGAGCAGUGAGAUCAUUUGUCCCGUGACAAGAAUAUAGCCCCAAGCGACGUCCAAGAUCUACUGUACAACCCCACGAAUAUCCGGUCUCGUGGGAUAGCCAUUCUAGACAUCAUCAACUCUCGGUUGCUUCUCAUCGUGACUCACAGUCCUUUUACGUCAUAAUAGAGAAUAUACGUCAUUGAAAAAAACCGCUGAACGAAGAACAGAUACAGGUGGAAAAAACAAUCUACAGGAAGCGCUAUGGCCUACUGAACUACACCUCUUUUCCCCACCUCACAUAUACACAGUUACGUUCCAUUACAAUGAGACUUUCAAGCCAGCGGGUACGUGCCACGACAAAUAGCCAAGAAGAUCACAAAACGGGCUUCCAGAUCUGCUGAUUCUGCAAACCGAGCUUCAAAGAGAACCACUAUAAUGCAACUCUAGGCUGGCUGGUUUUGUGAGCCUUUUGACCCAAAUAGUAUAUGAA